rnacentral:rRNA from 1 species
UCGGGAAUUUUGGGCAAUGGGCGAAAGCCUGACCCAGCAACGCCGCGUGAAGGAUGAAGUAUUUCGGUAUGUAAACUUCGAAAGAAUAGGAAGAAUAAAUGACGGUACCCGCAGAAUAAGCCCCGGCUAACUUCGUGCCAGCAGCCGCGGUAAUACGAAGGGGGCUAGCGUUGUUCGGAAUCACUGGGCGUAAAGCGUGCGCAGGCGGUUAUAUAAGACAGAUGUGAAAUCCCCGGGCUCAACCUGGGAACUGCAUUCAAAACUGACUGACUAGAGUAUGGUAGAGGGUGGUGGAAUUUCCUGUGUAGCGGUGAAAUGCGUAGAUAUAGGAAGGAACACCAGUGGCGAAGGCGACCACCUGGACUGAUACUGACACUGAGGUGCGAAAGCGUGGGGAGCAAACAGGAUUAGAUACCCCUGUAGUCCCUGAGCGGGCUGGCAAGGCGCAU